rnacentral:rRNA from 1 species
CCUGAACGCUGGCGGCGUGGCUAAGACAUGCAAGUCGCACGGGCCUGGUAACAGGUCAGUGGCGAACGGGUGAGUAAUGUAUCGCUAACGUACCCUGGACUUUGGGAUAGCUCUCCGAAAGGGGAGGUAAUACCAGAUGAGACCACAACCUCGCAUGGGGUGGUGCUCAAAGGUCCGCCGGUCUGGGAGCGGGCGAUAUCGUAUCAGCUAGUUGGUGCGGGUAACGGCCCACCAAGGCGACGACGCGUAGCCGGACUGAGAGGUCGGUCGGCCACAUCGGGACUGAGACACUG